rnacentral:lncRNA from 1 species
GAUUUCAUGCUUUGGAUUCAUGAGAAAAAAACUUGGAAAGAAGUCCCUGGCGGGUGCCCGGGAUCUGCUGCAACACCACAGCAGAGCAGAAAAUCUGGUUUCAUCUUUUGGGAGCUUGUCUGGGAUCUUUUUGAAGGCAUGACCCUUGCCCUAUGUACACCUUGAUCAGUCACCCACCAACUGCCACCAGGGACCUCUGGACUGCCUUGCUGCAUGAGACACUUAGCCUCAAAAGGCCAUAGAGAUGGAAUCCAUAAUGAAAUCUCCAUCUGCUGGGAGCCCUUAAAUAGGUCUCUGUAGGAGGGCCUUCCUGUCAUUCCCCUUUCAAUGCCCCUUUUCUGUUUGAAGGAGCCAAAGUGGUUAUCGCCCUUUCCCUAAUGGCAGGUAAGGAUACUUUCUCAGAGAGAGGAAAUGAAUAAAAUAGGAUAGGUAGACAGAUAGAUAAUAAAACAGGCAGAUAGGUCAUGUUUUAUCAUCAGUGCCCCACCAUAACCACCAAAAAGAGGCUUCUCUAAAUGAACAGCUAUGAAAUUAACCUGCAGAAACACUCCAGCCAACUCCUUGGUCUGGGGUGGCAGGACAGACCUGAGUGAAGGCUACAGACUGACGGGCUAACCAACCAGAAUGCUGUGGGCCGAACCAAUAGCCUUAACACUUUUCCAUUACUCACAACGUGGAUUUUGACAGAUAGCCUUGGCACUUUUCCAAUACCUGAUUAGCACAAAUAUUGGUCAGUGCUCCUAACCAGUAGCUAUAAAAACUCUUAGAGUAAUACAUUUAAGUGGCAAUCCCUAUCAGGUCCCCUUUCACCUUGGGGGAUCUCUGUGUCUUCUCAAUUGAAUAAAU